CAUAAGGUACUAACAUUUCAAAAGUUGCACAAAGGGUACUGAACUUGUUAUAGGAGGUAAACAAUCCGGUGAAAACUUGUUAAACCGGUUGGAACAAGUUUUUGGUUUAUUAAAAAAAGGAAAAAUAAUUAAAUAGGGAUACGUGUGCUUCGGGAAGGGAAAAAAAAGGCUAAUUUGUACAUUAGGAAACGAAAAACAUCAUUACUUUUCACCUUUCUCCCUCUUUAACACACUCACUCUUCCAAGCACCAAGAAAUCAUGAAAAUGGUGGAAACUUCAAUUUCAACCUAUUUUGCUUGUUUUUCAAUUGCUUCUAUGAAAACUAAAACCUCCCCAUUUCCAUUACUCUCCCAAAGAAGCUCAAGUAAAUCGAUUGUUUCCGUACUAUCCAAUUACUCCUGUGAUUAUUCAUCUAUUUUUGAUGCAAGGUGGAGAAGAUGGCUAUGGAGAUGAGUAUAUAUGGAAGUCGGUUUUUUUGGAGUUGUACCAGCUAUAAUUUAUUUAACUGAUAGAUUUCUUGAACAAUUGCAAACCUCAGUCCCCUCUUUAUUAAUGUCAGAAUUUUAUUUUUCCAUUUUUUUUUGUUUGGUUAACCUUUUGUAGAAGGUCAAUUAUGUGGUGAGUACUCUAUCUGCAACUUUUGAAACGUUAGUACCUUAUGUGCAACUUUUGGCAAA